rnacentral:rRNA from 1 species
UACAGAGGUCCCGAGCGUUGUUCGGAUUCACUGGGCGUAAAGGGUGCGUAGGUGGUUGGGUAAGUCUGAUGUGAAAUCUCCGGGCUCAACCCGGAAAUGGCAUUGGAUACUAUUCGGCUAGAGGUUUGGAGGGGGGACUGGAAUUCUCGGUGUAGCAGUGAAAUGCGUAGAUAUCGUAAGGAAGACCAGUGGCGAAGGCGGGUCUCUGGACAGUUCCUGACGCUGAGGCACGAAAGCCAGGGGAGCAAACGGG